UACGUAGGGUGCGAGCGUUAAUCGGAAUUACUGGGCGUAAAGUGUGCGCAGGCGGCCGAGCAAGUCGAGUGUGAAAGCCCCGAGCUUAACUUGGGAACUGCGCUCGAAACUACUUGGCUAGAGUGUGGCAGAGGGAGUGGAAUUCCACGUGUAGCGGUGAAAUGCGUAGAGAUGUGGAGGAACACCGAUGGCGAAGGCAGCCUCCUGGGCCAACACUGACGCUCAUGCACGAAAGCGUGGGGAGCAAACAGG
rnacentral:rRNA from 1 species